rnacentral:rRNA from 1 species
GUGAACGAGCGACGCCGCGUGCAGGAUGAAGGCCUUCGGGUUGUAAACUCCUGUCGAGGGGGAGGAAGGGGUAACCUUGACCGAUCCCUGGAGGAAGCACGGGCUAAGUUCGUGCCAGCAGCCGCGGUAAGACGAACCGUGCAAACGUUAUUCGGAAUCACUGGGCUUAAAGCGCGUGUAGGCGGAUGGGAACGUCGGACGUUGAAAGCCCCCGGCUCAACCGGGGAAGGGGCGCCGAAACGACCUGUCUCGAGGAACGUAGGGGGACCUGGAACUUCCGGUGGAGCGGUGAAAUGCGUUGAGAUCGGAAGGAACGCCCGUGGCGAAAGCGAGGUCCUGGACGUUAUCUGACGCUGAGACGCGAAAGCUAGGGGAGCAAACGGGAUUAGAUACCCCGGUAGUCCUAGCCGUAAACGAU